AUGAAUGAUAAUGCCAAUCCUGACAACCUCUUUGACGAUGAAUAUUACCUGUUUGCUGGUGAAGGCUCAGAUGUUGAUGACAUGGAGCACAACGAAUUGGAAGACUCAAGGCACAAUAACUAUGCCGACCAUGAUCCAUUUGACUAUGUGUACUCAAACCUCCCAGCCAACACACACAUCCUGAAGCACGCUGCGAACUGCGACCACUGCAAGGCUAAGAAGUUUGUGUCCGAGACCCCGGGAUUCUGCUGUUGCAGUGGGCAGAUCGAGCUGAAGCAACCGGAGCCCAUCCCGGAGCUCAUGAGGCUUUGGUCUAGCACUGAUGUGGACUCUAGACAUUUUUGGGAGAACAUACGGUUCUUCAACGGCCACUUCUCCUUCACAACCCUCGGUGUCAGCCUCGAUGAAAGCUACACAAACAUGAAGUCUGGGGUGUACACGUUUCGGGCGCACGGCACCAUCUACCACAACGUUCAUUCCUUCGGGCCAACAUCCCGUCCAGAGCAUCUACAGUUGUACUUCUACGACGACGACCCAGGCCUAACCCAUCGCAAGGAUGCCACCAAAAAAUUAGACCAAGAUGUCGUCAGAAAGUUAGUGGACAUACUCAGGGAAAACCCGUACUCCCAGCAGUUUAGGAGUUUGGGUGCGCACAGGGACAACCUCAACGAUUACAGGAUAGACCUCAACACUGACCAGAGACUAGACCAAAGGAAGUAUAAUAGACCUCUGUCAUCCGAGGUCGCUGCAAUUUGA
rnacentral:rRNA from 1 species